AUCCCAGCUAGUUACAAACAACGAGAUACUCUUUCUCUAACAAGAUGGAAGCACCUAGCCUUGUGAACAGCAAUGUUCAAUACAAAGAACACAGAGAGGAAAGUCAGACAUAUCCUGUGAAUGUGAGGAGAACUCACUGUAUCAGCUCCUCCCAGGGAAGCAGAUCCUGAUAACCUUGUUUCUCCAGUACAGUGCCAACAUAUGUCUAGAACAUGUGUUCAUCGCAUUUUCAAUAAGAAACAGACAAUGAGACCUUAAGCAGAAGACUUUUGGGGAUGUUGAGAUGAUUUCCAGCCAACAGCAACAAAAGAAGGAAAUUUAUUUUCUUUCUAUGCUAUUUCAUUGGACACAUGGAAUGAAGUGGU